GGACCGCUAGCUCAGUGGUAGAGCAACCGGCUGCAGCGUUCCAUCCCUUCUGGAGUGGAGUAAGUGGUUCCGGUAGGUCUCGUGUUCAACUCACGAGCGGUCCU